rnacentral:tRNA from 1 species
GCCCGGGUGGCUCAGUCAGUUAAGCUUCUGACUUUGGCUCAGGUCAUGAUCUUGCGGUUCGUGAGUUCGAGUCCCGCGUCGGGCU